UUGAGAAUGCAUCAAGAAGAAGCAUAAACUGCUGCCAUCCCCAAAAAAACUCCAAUGAGAAAUCAAAUCAAACAAAUGUGUGCAGGAUUAAAAUGGUCCAAUACCACAUUUGUCAUUUCCCAAACUGCACAUGAUCGAUUUGUCCCCUCAACAGCAGGAUUCAACAAAAUAUGACGUCCUUCAGACUUUAAAGUGCUGUCAAUGAAAUAUCAUAAUCAGUUUGGUUACACCAUAACUAUUCUGUACUGAUGAUGACACAGCUAACUGUUCAUGACACUUUCAUUAAAUGGACAAAGUGGCCUCAGUAAAGAGCAGAAAUGUUCAUCAUCCUAAAUAUCUGAAACAAGUUGCUUCAUUUUGAUGACUUCAUUUCAUAAACUGUCACUGUUUUUAAAUCAAUGCUGAAUUCUUUCCAGCAGAGGUUCUUCAGUGGUUUGGAUUUGAGCUUUGAGUGGAUCCCUGAGUUCACAGCAGGAGAAAAUGCCACAGAUGAUUUCAUUGGAUAAGUUAGACUGAGGAGCAUCAUCAGAGCAGUCCAGACUCCAGGACUGAUCCCUGAAUCCAAACGUCAGUCAUUACUGAAUCCUUCCCUUCUGAUUCUGCUGGAACUCACUGAUAUAGUGAUAACUUCACAGAUCAGUGGAAGAAGAUAGAGGGAUGGUUUUAGUAGGCUGGACAGCAGCUCCAAGGAAACAUGAUUUUAUGAUGCUAGGCUAACCUGUAAGAGCUGUUUGCACUGAUAAAGAAUAAUACUCAGACUUUUACCUUCACUGUUUCACUACAGCUUAAAGGGUCAACA